AGAAAGCGUCCCUGGAGAACAGCCUGGAGGAAACCAAAGGCUGCCACUGCAUGCAGCUGUCCCAGAUCCAGGGACUGAUUGGCAGUGUGGAGGAGCAGCUGGCCCAGCUACGCUGUGAGAUGGAGCAGCAGAGCCGGGAGUACCAGAUCUUGCUGGACAUGAAGACACGGCUGGAGCAGGAGAUCGCCACCUACCGCUGCCUGCUGGAGGGCGAGGACGCCCACCUUUCCUCCCCACACGCAUCUGGCCAAUCCUGUUCUUCCCGAGUGGGUAAGGCUCCUGAGGCUCCCCGGCACUGCAGCCCCUCUGCCUGUUUCCAUGGAGUGGGGGCCAGGCCCUUCUCCUCAGAGCUCCCAGCCCUCCCUUCUCCCUGCCCUGGAGUUGGCUUAGCUCUCAGACCCCUUCUCACCUCCUCUUCUCUCUCCCACAGUCUUCACCUCCUCUUCGUCCUCUUCGAGCCGUCAGACCUGGCCCAUCCUCAAGGAGCAGGGCUCAUCCAGCUUCAGCCAGGGCCAGUGCUCCUAGAACUGAGCUGCCUCUACCACAGCCUCCUGCCCACCAGCUGGCCUCACCUCCUGAAGGCCUGGGUCAGGACCCUGCUCUCCCAGUGCAGUUCCCAGCUGUCUCCCUGCUCCUCUACUGGUGAUGGGCUAAUAAAGCUGACUUUCUGGUUGAUGCAAA
ensembl:lncRNA KRT16P3 keratin 16 pseudogene 3